UCAUAUAGAUAGCUGGAUUUGUAGUUCAGACAAUAGCAAAAAUAAAAUUGUCGCAGAAACAGUCGCAAUAUGCAGCUAUGCUCAUUGUGGAUACAACUAAUAAAAUAAAUUAUUCAUAGCUUUUUGACCAAAAAAAUCGAAUUGAAUAUUCCUGAGUGACAUGGUUCAAAAAUUUUUCUUAAACCCUGAAAGGGUAUUUAGAAGUCAUACAAUAGACUUUAACUACAAAGACAAUUCCACAUUCCUCUGA